AGUGAACGCUGGCGGUAGGCCUAACACAUGCAAGUCGAACGGCAGCACAGUAAGAGCUUGCUCUUACGGGUGGCGAGUGGCGGACGGGUGAGGAAUACAUCGGAAUCUACUUUUUCGUGGGGGAUAACGUAGGGAAACUUACGCUAAUACCGCAUACGCCCUACGGGUGAAAGCAGGGGAUCUUCGGACCUUGCGCGAUUGAAUGAGCCGAUGUUGGAUUGGCUAGUUGGCGGGGUAAAGGCCCACCAAGGCGACGAGCCGUAGCUGGUCUGGGAGAAUGAUCAGCCACACGGGAACUGAGACACGGUCCAGACUCCUACGGGAGGCAGCAGUGGGGAAUAUUGGACAAUGGGGGCAAGCCUGAUCCAGCCAUACCGCGUGGGUGAAGAAGGCCUUCGGGUUGUAAAGCCCUUUUGUUGGGAAAGAAAAGCAGCAGGUUAAUACCCCGCUGUUCUGACGGUACCCAAAGAAUAAGCACCGGCUAACUUCGUG
rnacentral:rRNA from 1 species